GUUAGCAUUGCACCUUUCCGUUAGUUGGUAUGAACCUGCUAUCUGAUCAUGGGUAUGUGGUGAUGAAUACUACUCACCUGAUCAAGUACAUGAAUGUGUUUUUUUUUUCUUGGAUAGGUUGUAUAGUGCGAGUAUUUAAAGCCACAUGCUCCAUACCUCUGCUAGGGAGGCACAUAAGUGAAAUUUGGAGGGAUGGCUACUCAGAUUAUUAGUUUUGAUUGACCUAAGAUAUUGGAGCAAAUCAAAGCAUAUUUUGUGCUAAGGAAGACAUGAUUCAGGUUAAUUUACUUCGCCAUAUUGAUCUUGUAUUACCACAUCGGCUACCACCACAACAA
rnacentral:lncRNA from 1 species